UAAGACUCGUACACUAUCCGUGUCGAUCGCCUUCUACAGGUAUCCGUAGUCUUACGUGCCAUGAUGUUAGCGGCGGACGGGUGAGUAACACGUGGGUAACCUGCCUGUAAGACUGGGAUAACUCCGGGAAACCGGGGCUAAUACCGGAUGGUUGUUUGAACCGCAUGGUUCAAACAUAAAAGGUGGCUUCGGCUACCACUUACAGAUGGACCCGCGGCGCAUUAGCUAGUUGGUGAGGUAACGGCUCACCAAGGCAACGAUGCGUAGCCGACCUGAGAGGGUGAUCGGCCACACUGGGACUGAGAAACGGCCCAUACUCCUACGGGAGGCAGCAGUAGGGAAUCUUCCGCAAUGGACAAAAGUCUGACGGAACAACGCCGCGUGAGUGAUGAAGGUUUUCGGAUCGUAAAUCUCUGUUGUUAGGGAAAAAAAAGUACCGUUCGAAUAGGGGGUACCUUGACGGUACCUAACCAGAAAGCCACGGCUAACUACGUGCCAGCAGCCGCGGUAAUACGUAGGUGGCAAGCGUUGUCCGGAAUUAUUGGGCGUAAAGGGCUCGCAGGCGGUUUCUUAAGUCUGAUGUGAAAGCCCCCGGCUCAA
rnacentral:rRNA from 1 species